UACAGAGGGUGCAAGCGUUAAUCGGAAUUACUGGGCGUAAAGCGUGCGUAGACGGUCAUGUAAGUCGGGUGUGAAAGCCCCGGGCUCAACCUGGGAAUUGCAUUCGAGACUGCAUGGCUAGGGUGCGGAAGAGGGAAGCGGAAUUUCCGGUGUAGCGGUGAAAUGCGUAGAUAUCGGAAGGAACACCAGUGGCGAAAGCGGCUUCCUGGCCCAGCACCGACGUUCAGGCACGAAAGCGUGGGGAGCAAACAGG
rnacentral:rRNA from 1 species